AGGAAUCAGAGACAUUACAUCAGGAAGAUACUGCAGAGAUAUUCUACUCCAUCUCAUUCAUUGUACAGAUGGGACUGUCUAGUUGCAGGAAAACAAGCUCAGGGCUCCCACGGAUUCUACAUUAUGAUUCUAAACUCCCUGAAGGAGACAAAUUACCAGUGGACAAGAACACAGCCUCUGGAGUCCAAUAGACCUGGUGUAUUCAUUAGGUUAAAGAGGAAAAAGCAAGUUGCUCCAGAAAAACCUGUAAAGAAGCAAAAGACAGGUGAAACUUCGAGAGCUCUGUCAUCUUCUAAACAGAGCAGCAGCAGCAGAGAUGAUAACAUGUUUCAGAUUGGGAAAAUGAGGUACGUUAGUGUUCGCGAUUUUAAAGGCAAAGUGCUAAUUGAUAUUAGAGAAUAUUGGAUGGAUCCUGAAGGUGAAAUGAAACCAGGAAGAAAAGGUAUUUCUUUAAAUCCAGAACAAUGGAGCCAGCUGAAGGAACAGAUUUCUG
rnacentral:sRNA from 1 species